rnacentral:rRNA from 1 species
GACGAACGCUGGCGGCGUGCUUAACACAUGCAAGUCGAACGGAAAGGCCCUGCUUUUGUGGGGUGCUCGAGUGGCGAACGGGUGAGUAACACGUGAGUAACCUGCCCUUGACUUUGGGAUAACUUCAGGAAACUGGGGCUAAUACCGGAUAGGAGCUCCUGCUGCAUAGUGGGGGUUGGAAAGUUUCGGCGGUUGGGGAUGGACUCGCGGCUUAUCAGCUUGUUGGUGGGGUAGUGGCUUACCAAGGCUUUGACGGGUAGCCGGCCUGAGAGGGUGACCGGCCACAUUGGGACUGAGAUACGGCCCAGACUCCUACGGGAGGCAGCAGUGGGGAAUAUUGCACAAUGGGCGGAAGCCUGAUGCAGCAACGCCGCGUGCGGGAUGACGGCCUUCGGGUUGUAAACCGCUUUCGCCUGCGACGAAGCGUGAGUGACGGUAAUGGGUAAAGAAGCACCGGCUAACUACGUG